AUUGAACGCUGGCGGCAGGCCUAACACAUGCAAGUCGAGCGGAUGAAGGGAGCUUGCUCCUGGAUUCAGCGGCGGACGGGUGAGUAAUGCCUAGGAAUCUGCCUGGUAGUGGGGGAUAACGUCCGGAAACGGGCGCUAAUACCGCAUACGUCCUGAGGGAGAAAGUGGGGGAUCUUCGGACCUCACGCUCUCAGAUGAGCCUAGGUCGGAUUAGCUAGUUGGUGGGGUAAAGGCCUACCAAGGCGACGAUCCGUAACUGGUCUGAGAGGAUGAUCAGUCACACUGGAACUGAGACACGGUCCAGACUCCUACGGGAGGCAGCAGUGGGGAAUAUUGGACAAUGGGCGAAAGCCUGAUCCAGCCAUGCCGCGUGUGUGAAGAAGGUCUUCGGAUUGUAAAGCACUUUAAGUUGGGAGGAAGGGCAGUAAGUUAAUACCUUGCUGUUUUGACGUUACCAAAAGAAUAAGCACCGGCUAACUUCGUG
rnacentral:rRNA from 1 species